rnacentral:rRNA from 1 species
GAUGAACGCUGGCGGCGUGCUUAACACAUGCAAGUCGAACGAUGAAGCCCAGCUUGCUGGGUGGAUUAGUGGCGAACGGGUGAGUAACACGUGAGUAACCUGCCCUUAACUCUGGGAUAAGCCUGGGAAACUGGGUCUAAUACCGGAUAGGAGCGCCUACCGCAUGGUGGGUGUUGGAAAGAUUUAUCGGUUUUGGAUGGACUCGCGGCCUAUCAGCUUGUUGGUGAGGUAAUGGCUCACCAAGGCGACGACGGGUAGCCGGCCUGAGAGGGUGACCGGCCACACUGGGACUGAGACACGGCCCAGACUCCUACGGGAGGCAGCAGUGGGGAAUAUUGCACAAUGGGCGAAAGCCUGAUGCAGCGACGCCGCGUGAGGGAUGACGGCCUUCGGGUUGUAAACCUCUUUCAGUAGGGAAGAAGCGAAAGUGACGGUACCUGCAGAGGAAGCACCGGCUAACUACGUG